rnacentral:lncRNA from 1 species
GAUCAACUGUCACUCACUAGAAAAGUUCUCCCUUGACCACCCAUGUAAAAGCCUCCAUCUUCCUCCAGGGCCCCUCCACCACCAGAGUAGUUGGCUAAAAGUUUGGUGAGGAAGCCUCCAAUCAUGCUGUAUGUCAGGCUUCCAACUGCCCAGAGCUGCACCUGUAAACUUACUGAUUGUCUCAGCAGUCCGAGGGAGGAAGUACCGUCUUCCCCUUAUACAGGUACAGAGAACGAGGCUCGGGAAGGUAGAGUGAUCUGACUAAGGCCACACAAUUUUAUUAAGCAGCAGAGCUCAUUCCCUGUCUGUAUCCCUCCUCCCUAUUAGGUGAGACAGAAACAGAGAUGGAGAUGGAGCUGCGUGGCACUGGAGGUGGUAGCUGGUGCCGUGGUUUCCAAUGAGACUGUCUGGAGUGGCUGGGGACGUGCCAGCGCCCAGAGCACAGGAGCAGCACCAGGAUGAGGCAGGAAACCAGCGAGUCUGGUGCUUAAACUACCUGGUACUCAGUAACACUCAAGACCUGAGCGUUGAGAUGGUAAUAACAAACAGGGGUUGAACUGAGCAGAAUUAAUCAGGAGAGGAGAGCUGAUGAUGGACACCGUCUGAUGCCUGCACCAGCACAUCCCCUUUCUUCCUAGUCCCUCCCCACUGCCGUGCAGAAGGGGCUCCAGAGGCUUCUGAUGACUGUGGGGCAGGCAGGGCAGCUGACUCUUGCUCUGCACCCGGGCUGCUGCCAUUCCUCCCACAGGAGAUUUGCCAGUCAGCACAGGCCCCACAGAGAUCCCUUGCUCUUCUUUCCCCUGGGGGUGGGGAGCUGAGGAGGGUGGGAAGGGUGGGGGUGGGGUGCAUCUUAGCCUCCCUGGCUCAUCGGUGGGCAGCCCCACCAUAGUCAGGCUCUUUUCCUGAUCUAAUUAGCAUCACUGAGAAUUAAACUACACAGCCCUGAAGUGAGCCUGCUUCCCCAAGAGCCUUCCAGAAUUAACCCUGAGUACAGGUGAAACCUUUCCGUGCUUCAGGGCCUGGAGUUCGGGAGGCACUAACCAGAGACGGGAGCUGCAACUGCUGCCUCUGAUUAUGCAAUGUGUGUUCUCAAGCAAGGGGAAGAGAUGAGGAGAGACGGGAGGGUGGGAGAGGAGAGGAGAGGAGGGGACUUAGAAUAGAAUCCACCCUUCCAAUCCCACAAAUAAAAUCGAUUAGCAACA